rnacentral:rRNA from 1 species
UACGUAGGGGGCAAGCGUUAUCCGGAUUUAUUGGGUUUAAAGGGUGCGUAGGCGGACUGUCAAGUCAGCGGUAAAAUACGGGGGCUCAACCUCCGCCCGCCGUUGAAACUGGUGAUCUUGAGUGGGCGAGAAGUAUGCGGAAUGCGUGGUGUAGCGGUGAAAUGCAUAGAUAUCACGCAGAACUCCGAUUGCGAAGGCAGCAUACCGGCGCCCGACUGACGCUGAGGCACGAAAGCGUGGGGAUCGAACAGG